CCUACUAAUUGACAUGCCUGUCCCCUCCUUCUCCUGGUGUCCAUUUCUGGAACUGCUAUUUGUGUAUUGCAUGAUAUUUUAUCAGGGAAAAAAUAAAACUGAGAUCCAAUUUCAUGAAAGUGCUGUUGCCGUAUGCCCAGGAGGACAGGGGGAGGAGAGAGUCAAGUCUUCCUCCGUCUACCUCAUGCGCAGGAGAGAACAUCCCCAGGACAGCUUCUUUCUGGGCUACACAUGGAGAGCAUCUCUGAAAGGAAAGCAUUCCCUAUGACCUUCGUUUCACUCGGACCCUGGUGACAGCAUCCAAUUGCAGGAGGCAGUUGUGUGAAAGGAUACUCCUGAGUUACAGAAGAUGCCCUGCAAAGGCACACCAAAUACAAAUUAUGUGCACUGUGUUUGUUAAUACUGUGACUAGAGGAAGUUCCCACAGGGCCACUUGGAACUCUUGUAAGAUUUUCUGAGGCAGAAAAAAAGAACAAACAAACAAACAAAACCAACAUGACCACCACAGAAAUCAAAUCUUCUGGACUUGGAGGAAUGUUCCGGAUUUACCAGGCCCACAGAUAAUGGAACCACAUAACUAUGAAAUGAAACCUCUGAAGCAUGGGUCAAAAAAAUAAACCUCCCCACCCCAAAGAGCUGGAAGAUGAUUUAUAGAAACUGAGACAAAGAAGAGCAGUGAAUAUAUUAUCUAACUCCAACUCAGAAAACCUGACACCUGGACUCAUGUACCAGGAGAAUUCAGUCUACUCCUCUGUCUUUAGAAUUAUUAAAAGAAGAAAGUCAAAUUUUUGAAUAAUAAAAUAUGGACUCAUGAAUGAAAGAAGUAAAUACCCAUCCUUAAUCUCCAAACCAUAGUGCCUGGAACAUACAAAGGGGAGUCUCAUGGUUCAUGGAUUCCAUCUGAGAUGGGAAUGAAGGAAAAACUUAAAAGGUGUUCUGGAUCUGCCUAAAAGGUAUUCUGAAUCUUCAAGAGAGAAGUCAGCACAAUUUCUUCUAGAGCAAUAUUCUUUCAACGGGAAGUGCUACAAUUUCCUCUGAAGAGACUGUACACACAUCAAACAAGAUUAAUAUGCCACCACAGAGAAUUCUAAUUUUUUUGGUUUCUUAUUUUUAUUUGUUGAUUUGUUUGUUGUAAAGACAGAGAGAAAAAGAACACAAAGUUGGGUAGUGAGGUAGAAGAAUUUGGGAGGACUUAGAGGAGGGGGAAAACAUGAUUAAAAUACAUUGCAUGAAAAAGAUUUCAACCAAAAAAAUUAGAAGUUAAUGAAGCUUCUGAUAGAAUUAAGGUUUUGGAAGUUGGACUAGACACCAUUCAUGUUACAUUCCAGCAAAAAGCUUGCCUACACUCUCCAUGUUUCAAGAUAAUUAAGAAUUUAGGAGACAUGCUUGUUAAUUUCAUGCAGGAAAUUUCAAGGCAGCCCAGAAUUCUGGCUAUGCCAUGGCUGUUGUUAGAUUAUUUUAGCCAUGUUUAAAACAAAAAUUAGGAGUGGAAGCAAAGUAGAAAGACUUAAAUACACAUGUCUGUAUAAAUUUAUAAAUAUACGAAUUUCCAGGUCCAUUUAGUGCUGCUUGUUUGUAUAUAUGUUUAGGGUUAACCACUCAAGAUUGAAUAAACUAUCAGGGAACUCACCCCAUGAGAAGACUAGUUUUCCAUCUCUUAACUCCCUGGAGCUUUUCAUCUAGGAUUGGGGACUUUAGAUCUAUCUCUGUCACCUUCCCCACAAAUCAACUCUUGACAGAUCAAAGACCUCAAUAUGAAAUUUGAAAUGCUGAAACUGCCAGUCGAAAACAUAGCUGUUAUUUAGCUGGAACUGCACAGUAUCUGACCUUUUCAGAUUACCUACUUUUACUUAGAAAUACAUAGCCUUUGCCCAUCUAUGAUCUCAUUUUCUAUGUAUCAUUUACUCAAAGUCAAUUAUAGUUCAAAAUUUUUAAAAAGAAUAUUUCAGAGACAGCUAAUACCCUGAUGUUCUUAGUAAUAUAAUCUAGCCACCAUAUUCCAUUCUACUACAAGAGGGCUUGUCCCACUGUCCAAUGUAUCCAUGCUAUAUAAGCUUCCUAUGUACCAGCUAUUUAGUAGUAAUCUGAGUCAUUACAUGGCCUAUCAUGGUUUCAUAAUGUUGUGUUCAAGAAAUGGAGAAAUAGUGAAAGAGACAGUAUAUUAUUUUUGUAUUUCAUUGUUAUUAAUUUAUGAAUCAAACUCAUAGAUACGUACAUAUGGGGAAUAUAUAGUAUAUAUGCUUGGUUUCAAACAUUUGCUGAUUAUCUUGAAAUGAAUUUCUCAGGGAUAAAUGAGGACUACUAUACAUGUUUAGGUAUUCCCCAUGUUUUUUUAUCACUUGGUAGCAUUUUUGUGUGUAUUGAAAAAUAUUUCAUUGUUUAAAUGUGUGACAGUUGACUUAUACAUUCACCCAUGGAAGCACAUCUUGGUUUCUUCAUAGUUUGAUAAGUAUUAGGAUAGCUGCUGUAAGAAUAUGCAUCCAGAUGUUUAUGGAUAGGAGUUUCAAUUCCUUCUUUGAGUUAAUUCUGAGGACCUUGAUUAUAAUAUCAUAGUGUGAGUACAUCCAGAUCUAUAGGAAAAAUAACAAAGCAGUACAUCUGAGUUCCUGUUGCCCCAUAUCUACACCAUCAUUUGGUGUUGUCAGAGUUCUGGAAUCAGCCAUUCACAAAGUGGGUAGUACACUUUUAUUGUUUUAAUUAUCAUUUUAUUUUUAAUGUCCAGGGUGAAGCAUCUUUUCAUGUCUUUAAUUGCCAGUUGUAGAACUUUCUUGAUAAGUUGUCUGUCUAGGUAUGCAGAUGUUUUGGUUAAUCAUCCCUUGUCAUAUGUAUUUUUUCCAAAUAAUUUCUAGUUAGGGGUCCAUUGCUGUUUU